GGUAGGCCCGCCGCCCAGUUCCUCGGGUUCGGACCGCCUUUGCAGUGUAUUACGACCCCUUCCCGCCAAGACUCGGCGUGACUCAAUCUUACCAGCGCCUCUAUUCUUACCCUGCCAUUUUUAUCCGAUGCUAUGGCCCCGCAUCUCCGCCGUUUUUGAACGCUACGGCCGCCGCGUUUCAUUUCUUUCCACCCUUCUCCGGGUACUUUAUCCCACCCUUCUUGGGUCAUUUAUUCCACCCUUCUUGGGUCAUUUAUUCCACCCUUUCCGGGUACUUUCUAAUCAAUCAUUUUCUUUCCUUUUUCUUAUCAUUUCCUUUUCCUUAUUCUUUAGACUCUUUCUUUACUUUCACUUCUAGACGCCACCCGUUCUCGGUGUCACACACAAUUCAGUAAACAACCAUCUCACGGAUGUCCUACCAUUCAUCUAAUCAACCGGUUAACGUUUACUAUUAACCUACUUUUAAUUCUUUCUAAGCAUCCUAGCUUUCAACCACAAUCAAGAAUAGAUCAUCGACCAACCAAACAUCCAUCAUUCAAGUAACACAACAAUCCGUUUACUGUCUUUAAUCAGUGCGAGCGUUCUUAUGCAGUAUGAUCUAUCAACCUAACAUCAAUCAAGAUCUAAACCAUCCUAAUUCCUCAUUCAUCAGUAUACAAGAUCAUGAACAAGAUCUGGAAUAGAACACCUCACCUUAGCCUAGAUCUGGAUCUGGAUCUGAGAGUAGGAGGUAAGAGAAAACGGGAUCUGCGAUCUAUGACAACACGCGGCCACCACCACCACUCGCGGCCGAGAGAGAGAGAAGGGGACGCGGCGAGGAGAGAGGGAGAGAGAGAAGAGACGCGGCGAAGAGAGAGAAGGAGGAGAGAGACGGCGCGAAGAGAGAGAGAGUCGACGGCUAGGGCUUCUGAUCUCCGGGGAUUCUCUGCAGGGCUUCGCUUCUAAAUUUCUGAUGGAAGAUUUAAGGGGUGGAGGCCUGCUUUUAUAAGGUGAGGUAAAGGGAAAACCCUAGGGUUUUCUAGUUGGGCUGUAGAGAAACCCAUUAGCUUUUUCAAAAAUUUUAAAUGGGCUGGUUUUGGGGUGUUACAAUUCUCCCCCUCUUAUUCGGAAUUCGUCCCGAAUUCCAAAUCUUCAGUUUGAACUUAACAUCCCAAAACUGGGUGAGUUUCCAAACACAAACAAGGGAAGCACGAAAUGACAUCCUACUGCUCAAGAUCAUUUAAAACCAACAAUGAAUUUAAUAAAUGAAAUGGAGUAGGACUACAAUAAAUAGAUAGGUCUCAAGGUAUCGCCAAAAUCCGCGAAUACCCUUAUAACAAGAAAGGAAAAGCUAAAACCAAAGAAGAAAAACCAUGUCCUACUCCUACUAGCUGACUCUGGAAUCACAGCUAGCCACUUCGAACUGGAGACUUCUGCUCCCCGUCCGGCUUAGGACCAGCCGCUCGGCCAAUCCCCGUCGGCGACGCCGGCUCCUCUUCCCAGUCUGAGUCCUCCGAUGGAUCCUCUUCCACCUCUACGUCCUCCUCAGAGCUCGAGAUAGCGACGACCCGACGAGUAAGUGUCCGUUCAGCCUCCAUUGCCUGACCGGCCAUCCGGUUCACCAAGGCGAAUUCCAAUGGUUCCAACACACCAAUCAGCCUGCCCUGAAUCUCCUCGCGGAGUCCUGCCUUGUACCACCGGCACCAAUCCUCCGCUGUCUUGGGCUUGCAUCUUUUGGCUGACUCCAGGAAUUCCUCUGUGUACUCCCGGACUGAGCGCGGUCCUUGCCUGGCCUGCGUCAAUGUUCCACACCGACACAUUCCGGUUAUGCUCCUCAGACUCCCUGCAUCAAUGCUCGGAAUCUUUCUUGGACGUCCACGUUUUCUCGUUGGUACACUGUCCUCCAUCCUGAUCGGCCCCGGACCUGCCCUGGUCGGCCCCGUCUUCCUGGGGCGCCCUCGGCCCCUUGUGGGAGGCGUCGUGUCAACUUCAGGUGCAAACUGGAAAGUACCCUGACUCUGGUACAAUCGCCUGUACUCGGCUGCCCGCUGGAAAUGGGGCAUCAAAAUCCGACGACUCACGGUCGUCUCCUGAAUGGGGGCGUUCGGCGGCUUCGCGAACUCCAUUUCCUCCUCGUCUGGGAAGAGUGCAGGUACCACAUCGCCCCAAGCGUCACGGUAGGGCUUGCGGGCGUAAGCCCUUGUCCCUUUUGGUCCAUAGCGCAUGCGUCUUUCUCCGAGCUCGUGAUGCACUGGUGAAGACAUCCUGCAGCGUAAAAACAAAGACCUGAUCAGUACCUAAUAGUAGACAUACAUAGAUGGCAGUUUUCAAUCAAUUCUCAAACUAGAGCUGCUUUAACAGACAAAAUCCCAGUGUGGUUCUUAUCAUCCCUUUUUGCCCCAAGAUGACCCUUUUUUUUACAGUCAGCCUUUUUACCCUAUGAAGAUCCCAUAUCCUUAUUAACAUUUUGCAUUCUGCUCCAAGAUGACUCUCCAUCAUCCCUUUUUACCCCAAGAUGAUCCUUAGUUUGGUCCUCACAAUCUGAAAUCGGUUUUCUCCCACUACUCGUCCGUCCGUCCCUUGGCCGCCCCGGGUUGCUCCUUCCUCGUCGGCGGGCCCACGCCCUGAUGGUGGGACCCGCGCCCAUAUUUCCUUUUUUUUUUUUUUUUUUUUUUUUUUUUUUUUACUGGGAACAAGCUUCACUGUGAUAUCUGAAUGUCAGAAGUCCAUUUCUUUGCAGGGUUUAAUCCCUCCGUGAAGUUGCGCACGCCUCGGCCUUGCGUCCGUCCCUCCUUCCCCGACCUCUACGGCCCGGUGCGGGGCGGUGUCGUCCGCGAGACGCUUCCCUCCAGCUCGAAUGUCCGGCUUUCCAUUACCCCUUUGACUUGACGUGCUAGGCGACUAAUCCCUCUGUAUACUUGCCUUACAAUUCCUUGUUACCCAUUUCUGAACCUCUGAAACUCCACUACACCGCAGUACGAAGACUUUUUGUUAACCUGAUCUCGGCCGGAAACUCUGAGCUGUUCGAAUUCUCCUUCAACAUUAGCUAUGACGGUCGAACAGAACCAUAAGGGAAAUGGGCAACGGUGAGAAAUGCUGAUCCCUUAAGUUAGUAUUAAGGGACCUUAACCUGGCUCUGAUACCAAUUGAAACACCCGCCCCUUCCCAUUUCCGACCGGGGUUCCAGGGCACGGGGUUUAGGACACACAUGUCUAUUUUCCCGACAUCUCCGUGUGUCCCGUUUCUGGUCCCAUGAGUUUUAGUUGCAUUUCCUUCCUUACCGUUGACAUUUCCACUUAUAGUUCUGCAAAAAGGGAGAGGGAAAAGAGGGGUGAGUACUAAUACUCAGUGAGGCGAUUCUAGACCAGUCUCCCCCAUGAGCCUCUAUACGACUCAAUGCGAAACGAGAACCGUCUAGUCACUACACUCAGUCGAUGCAACCUAACAGCUAGUUAAUAAGUUUCAUUUCACAAUCAAGCACUGUAAUGAACUCAGUCAUCACUCAAUCAUAGAAUACGGUUUAUUAUUUAAGACCUCCCAUCAUCCUAGGACUUUAGGACCUACACAGCUCAAGCGGACCAUUCCUCCCCUUUUCUUGCUGCUUCCUGUGAAGUCGCCUGCCCUGGUAGGCCCGCCGCCCAGUUCCUCGGGUUCGGACCGCCUUUGCAGUGUAUUACGACCCUUUCCCGCCAAGACUCGGCGUGACUCAAUCUUACCGGCGCCUCUAUUUUUACCCUGCCAUUUUUAUCCGAUGCUAUGGCCCCGCAUCUCCGCCGUUUUUGAACGCUACGGCCGCCGCGUUUCAUUUCUUUCCACCCUUCCCCGGGUACUUUAUCCCACCCUUCUUGGGUCAUUUAUUCCACCCUUCUUGGGUCAUUUAUUCCACCCUUUCCGGGUACUUUCUAAUCAAUCAUUUUCUUUCCUUUUUCUUAUCAUUUCCUUUUCCUUAUUCUUUAGA
rnacentral:lncRNA from 1 species